rnacentral:lncRNA from 10 species
CUCUCCCAGCACACAACACUGGCCAUUCACAUUUCAGCUGCCAGAGGGCAGGAGGCCCGAGUGUGCCAGUCAUCAGUACUUACAGCUCCUUCCUCGUGCGGGACACUGCUGGGGUUGGGGCGUGGCAGGCGGUGAGGUGGAGGGUCCCAGCUCCUGAGCUCCAGCCUUCGAGGGAGACAGACUCAUGAAUCACCACCGUGCAAGUGCUGGGAAUAUUCCUGGGACAGGGAGCACACAUGGAGGCCUCUCCACGCCCAAGGAAGGGAAGGGACAGCACUGGAGGCACCAAACGGACAAGAGUUCGGUGCAGCUCAGAAACUGAAACAGGGGCUCCUGCUGGCUGCAGUGCAUGCGAUGGAUGGAGUGGCAGAAUGGGAGCCAGAGGACCCGAGAGGAGACCUGUGCAUGGGUCUAGGCCUCCCGAGGACCGAACGAGUCCUCAGACAGCACCAGGGAAUGGACCCUGGUCUGGGCCAGCCUCUCCUUCCAGGAUGAAGAAAUGAGGAAAAUCCAACAGUGGAACUCAUACAACUUUGAAGACCAGGAGGAAAAGAACUGUUUCCCUGAAAAUGCAAGGCGGCUUUGUCUACUUAGCUUCUCCAUUAGCUUGAAUUCAACCUGAAGGGUCUUUGCAUUUUGAUUUUAAUAGCAGUUGCAGCUUCCUAAAGAGGCCAGGAUCUUAACACGCCCCUCAGCAGUGUAUUAGAGACCUUUCUCCAUCUCCCUGCCAGCAAAGUGUGUUACAGUUUUCGUUAAAAUUCUUUAUGUGGCCUGAUGGGUGUAAUGAUGUCUCUGUUGUGCAAAUAUGCCCUUCCCUGGCUGCUCGUGACUUCAGGCAUCUUUUCAGGUUUGCUGGAUUUAUUUGCUCUGACUCACUUCUGCCCAUUCGUAUCUCUUGCCCACUUUAUUGCUGGUUGUCUGGCUUUUUCCUGUGGGUUCAUAAACGCUUACUGUAUAUUUGAGGCAUUAACACCUUAUUGGUCAUCUGCGUUAAAAAUAUUUUUUGUCAGCUACUUGGGAGGCUGAGGCAGGAGAAUUGCUUGAACCCGGAAGGUGGAGGUUGCAGUCAGCCGAGAUCACGCCAUUGCACUCCAGCCUGGUGACAGAGCAAGACUCCGUCUCUCUCUCUCUCUCUCUCUCUCUCUCUCUGUCUCUCUCUCUCUCUCUCUCUCUCUCUAUAUAUAUAUAUAUAUAUAUAUACACACGUACAUGUACAUAUAUAUACGUAUAUAUAUGUUUCUUUUUUGUGAUCUCUUUUGCCAUAGACAUAUUUUGAGUUUGCUAAAGUAAACUUUAAAAAUCAAAGCAUAUACAAAUACAGAUGAGUACACGCUUUAGAAGUGUAUACUGUGAUGAAUUUUGACUGACUGAGCACACCCAUGUGAUCUCCAGCAAAUCAAGAUUUAGAAAGAACGCGAUUGCCCCCUCCCGCCCUUCACAGCGAUCAGCCCCUGGAGGUGAACCCUGUCCUGAACUCCUGGCUCCAAAGAUUAGCUUUGAGCUUUACCUAGAUGAAUUCACACUGGCUGUACUCUUUCCUGAUUAUGAAAAUAACAUGGUCAUUUACACAAUUUAGAAAACAUAGCAAUGUAUAAAGAAGAAAGCAUUUGUGUGGUUUAAUAUACUUUCUACAUUCAUCAUCCAUUUCUACUUUUUUCUUCUGUGAGUUGCCUAUGAGGUCUUUACCUCUUUUUCCCACUGAAAGCUUGGCUUUAAAAAAUAAUUGUGUUAAAGCACCCUUCCUACAGUAAGGAUAUGAACUCUCUGUUACCUUUGUUACUUGUAUUUUUUCCUGACUUCUUAUUUGCUUAAUUUUAUUAUUUGAGGUAUGAAUACUUUCCCAUUUUAGAUAAAAUUUUCCUUUGUUAUUUGUUUUCAUACUUGCUAUGAAAUGUUUCAAAGGGAAAUAUGUUUAUUCCUUUUGAAACUCACGUUGAAACUGAAUCCCCAAGGUAACAGUAUUGAGAGGCGGGGCCUUUAGGAGGCGGGUAAUCCCUUCGUGGAUUGGUAGAUCAGUGGGUUCUCACAGGAGGGGUUGGUUACCACAAGCACGAAUCAAAGUUUUCUGUUUGCUGCAGCAUCUUUCCUGCUGGAGUCUGUCAAUGCUCUGAGUGCAAGAUGAGAUGGUCUCAGAUAUUUUGUCCUCAGGGACUUGUGCGGUGCUUGGCAUGUCGUGGGACUCCAUGGACAGAUGGAGCGACACACUGGGGACUGACGAGGGGGCCCCCCACCCCUUUUCAGAAAUCACAUUGCUGUGUAAAAUUUUAUUUCACAAAUGGCUCUCUUGCUUAAAACUGUUUGAGAACUCAUACCUCUGUGCAAAACACUAAGCCGCCAGUAGUGAGAUGAAGCUCUCAGCUCCAGGAAGGGAGAUAUUGGAAAUCGGGGAAUGUUUCUGGCAACCUCAGCUUCCCAACACGUGGGUGGUCUUCGGAUCCACUUACACAUAAAACCCAGGCAAUGUUGAACUGUUUUAAAGGGAAAGGGGAGUAACGCGAGUGGAAGCGAUCAUGAAGUGUCUCUUUUCAUGCGGAACAUUCCAGUUGAGCCAUCUCACCAUUCUUAAGGAAGAAGGUUGAGGGAAGCAGUGGCGGAUGGGUGGUCUGGGCAAGGUGAGGUCACCCGGGGGCUCCCCCACCAGCUGAUGUAGGUGGAGAGACGGCCUUCACCUCCCUAGAAGCAGCAAAUGGGGCAUAUUCUCUUUUCUUGGUGGCUUCAAAGAGCACAGAAGAGUAUAUUUCCUGGUGUAAAUUCACUCGCAAGACUUGAUUCUUUUUCCUCCUGCCAAAGGAAUUUCCAUUCAGUAUCUUCUACUGGGGCAGAGUUUCUUUCAAGCAAUGCAUUUCCUGAGGAGUGAGACUGGCAAACUCUGUGGUCUUUGAUGAGCCUCACUGUUGAAGGGAAAACAGCCCUUUUCUUUCUUGUUCCUUCAACCCUCACUGACAGUAAUUGGCUGUUGCCUCUUACGAUUUCUCCAGAGAAAUGGAAAUAGCAGCUCAGAGUCCUAAAACAAUGUCCUUUGAUCUAAAAGUUCCAGGAAAUAAAACACCUUUGCAGUUAUGGAGUCCAGACAGGGACGCAUUUGCAGAAGGUCCCGGAGCUCGGCUGCUGCCCCUUGCACGUCAAGUGUGGCGUCCUCAGGCCACCAUGGGGAGUCCUCCACGCAGUCUGGCUCUCUUUCUGCUUGCAGACGUCUGCAAAUGACUCCACGGAUGACAUGCACCCUCACAGCCCACACCUCAGUGCGUGUCACAGUGACCUAUUCCUAGGACUAUUGCAACAGCCUCGAAGUGCCUCCUUUCCCAGACCUCUUCCUGCUCAAAUUCACCUUCACCUGCAUGGCAGAGCCUCCAUGUGAAGUGUGGAGAUUCCUCCAGAAGCAGCCAGGGAAAGCCAGCCGGAGCAGGGGCUGCUGGCAAGGUCUGGUUUUCCGGGUGCUGGAAGCCCAGCUCAUCCAGAGGACGGCCCAUCACACUGCAUUCUCGGGAAGACAGCAUCCCGUGUAAGGGGCUCCCCCCACCCCGUAUUCACAGACCUGACAGCAGGCAUGUUUGCUAGUCAGGUAAGAUGUAUCUGGCUGUUAUGGGCUGAGCUGUGUCCCACUCAAUUAAUAUAUUUUCAUAUAUUGAAGUUCUAACCUCAGUACCUCAGAGUGUGACUGUAUUUGGAGGCAGGGUCUUUAAAGAAGGAAUGAAGUUAUAGUGAGGUCACUGGAGUGGGCCCUAGUGACUGGUGUCCUUAUAGGAAGAGGAAAUUGGGACACAGCACCCAGGGAGGGAUGCCCAAGUGAGGACACAGCGGGAGGAUGGUGUCUACAAGCCAAGGGGAGAGACCUCAGAAGAAACCACUCCUGCUGCAACCUUGAUCUUGGACUUAGGGCCUCCAGAACUGUGAGGAUACCUGCUGUUCAAGCCCCUCGUCUGGGGUAUGUUGUCAUGACGGCCUGAGCGGGCUACCACACAGGCUGACUAGACCUCGGGCUGUUCUUUAACUUCUCGCAUAAGAUUAAAGGAUUCCUUUAGAUUGUCUAAACCACUGGUAGAAUGGGAAGUAGGUGUAGUGUAUUUAAACCAGUUAGUUACACAGAUUACACAGUGAACUCAAGUCAUGGUCCUCAGGCUGGGCUGCCUGUGGGGCUAUCUGGGGAGCUUUCACAAACACGAAGCUUGGGUCCCAUUUUCAUGGUUCUGGUUGAUUGGCCUGAGGUGCAGCCAGGGCUCUGCAAGCUUCACAGAUAAUUGUCACGCAUGGCCAUUCUGUGUGUUCUACAUCAGCCCCCAGGUCCCCAUCAAGAAAUGUGCUAGACACUCUCCUCCUGGAGGCCCAGAUGCUCUGCUUGGAGGCUGGGACCUCUCCGGGCGGUGUGUGUCUGUGAGGGGCUCUGCAAGGGGAUUAAAGACCCUUGUUGGCAAGAAGACUUAUUUCCUGUGCAGUGGAACAAUAUUCUCCUAGGCCACACACGCA